rnacentral:rRNA from 1 species
UACGUAGGGUGCGAGCGUUGUCCGGAAUUAUUGGGCGUAAAGAGCUCGUAGGCGGUCUGUCGCGUCGGUCGUGAAAACUUGGGGCUUAACCCUGAGCUUGCGGUCGGUACGGGCAUGACUGGAGUUCGGCAGGGGAGACUGGAAUUCCUGGUGUAGCGGUGAAAUGCGCAGAUAUCAGGAGGAACACCGGUGGCGAAGGCGGGUCUCUGGGCCGAUACUGACGCUGAGGAGCGAAAGCGUGGGGAGCGAACAGG